GACGAACGCUGGCGGCGUGCCUAAUACAUGCAAGUAGAACGCAGUUGCGAACGGGUGAGUAACGCGUAGGUAACUGCCUGGUAGCGGGGGAUAACUAUUGGAAACGAUAGCUAAUACCGCAUACUACCAGAUGGACCUGCGUUGUAUUAGCUAGUUGGUGGGGUAACGGCCCACCAAGGCAACGAUACAUAGCCGACCUGAGGGGGGGAUCGGCCAAACUGGGAAUGGUAAACGGCCCAGACACCUACGGGAGGCAGCAGUAGGGAAUCUUCGGCAAUGGGGGGAAACCUGACCGAGCAACGGCGCGUGAGUGAAGAAGGUUUUCGGAUCGUAAAGCUCUGUUGUUAAGGAAGCGGUACUUAACCAGAAAGGGACGGCUAACUACGUGCCAGCAGCCGCGGUAAUUC
rnacentral:rRNA from 1 species